rnacentral:rRNA from 1 species
UAAAGAUUCAUCGCUGAUAGAUAGGCAUGCGUUCCAUUAGGCAGUUGGCGGGGUAACGGCCCACCAAACCGACGAUGGAUAGGGGUUCUGAGAGGAAGGUCCCCCACAUUGGUACUGAGACACGGACCAAACUCCUACGGGAGGCAGCAGUGAGGAAUAUUGGUCAAUGGGCGUAAGCCUGAACCAGCCAAGUCGCGUGAGGGAUGAAGGUUCUAUGGAUCGUAAACCUCUUUUAUAAGGGAAUAAAGUGUGGGACGUGUCCUAUUUUGUAUGUACCUUAUGAAUAGGGAUCGGCUAACUCCGUGCCAGCAGCCGCGGUAAUACGGAGGAUCCGAGCGUUAUCCGGAUUUAUUGGGUUUAAAGGGUGCGUAGGCGGCCUUUUAAGUCAGCGGUGAAAGUCUGUGGCUCAACCAUAGAAUUGCCGUUGAAACUGGGGGGCUUGAGUAUGUUUGAGGCAGGCGGAAUGCGUGGUGUAGCGGUGAAAUGCUUAGAUAUCACGCAGAACCCCGAUUGCGAAGGCAGCCUGCCAAGCCAUGACUGACGCUGAUGCACGAAAGCGUGGGGAUCAAACAGGAUUAGAUACCCUGGUAGUCCACGCAGUAAACGAUGAUCACUAGCUGUUUGCGAUACAGUGUAA